UACGUAGGGGGCAAGCGUUGUCCGGAAUCAUUGGGCGUAAAGCGCGCGUAGGCGGCCCGGUAAGUCCGUUGUGAAAGUCAAAGGCUCAACCUUUGAACGCCGAUGGAUACUGCCGGGCUAGAGUCCGGAAGAGGCGAGUGGAAUUCCUGGUGUAGCGGUGGAAUGCGCAGAUAUCAGGAGGAACACCAAUAGCGAAGGCAGCUCGCUGGAACGGUACUGACGCUGAGGCGCGAAAGCGUGGGGAGCGAACAGG
rnacentral:rRNA from 1 species